GUUUGGUUUUAGCUCUUCUUUUACGCUUUCUUCUUCUGCUUCUUUCAUCUUCAGCUUCACUUUCAGACGAGGUUUCUGAAGGGUCUGAUCCACUGGAGGAGGAGUCUGAAGCUUCGGAGUCAGAACAGACUUUCUUCUUCUUCUCCAAAGCGUCUUUUGCAGGUUUUGUAACAAGCACCCCACAGUCAAUAACUCGUACAUCUGCAUAGGGUCUACUGGCAGUAUCAGUUUUCAGAUUUUCUAUUUGUUCUAUUACUUCAAAACCAGAAAUAACCAGUCCAAAGACAACGUGUACGCCAUCAAGAUGAGGAGCGGGUUUUGUUGUUAUGAAAAAUUGGGAACCAUUGGUAUGUUUCCCUCGGUUUGCCAUUGACAAAAGGAACGCUCUGUCAUGUUUGAGAAUAAAGUUUUCAUCUUUAAAAUAGCCACCAUAAAUAGAUUCACCUCCUUUUCCAUUACCUUCACUGAAGUCCCCACCCUGAAUCAUGAAGUUUUUAACCACGCGAUGGAACGUAGUGCCUUUGUAGCACAACUUCUUCCCAGUUGUUUUGCCAAUUCCUUUUUCACCCGAGCACAAGCAAAGGAAGUUUUUGCAAGUCUUUGGACAUAUGUCUGAGAAGAGCUGAAACAUAAUUCGACCAACUGGCUCGCGGUUGAUCUCGAUGUCGAAGAAGCACUGCGGUCGGUCCUGCACGCCCAUGGCCGCGCGGCCCCGCGGCGCCCGGCUCAGCACCUGGCAGCUCGUGCGCUUUGUCCCCGCUCCACGCCGCGCC
rnacentral:lncRNA from 1 species